rnacentral:other from 1 species
CGUUCCCUGCGGUGUUUGUUAAGGUCAUAGACUCCUUGAACCAAUGCUAAUUGGCAUCGGUCGCGGACCAUAGAAACCGCUGUUGUGUGCGCCCUUCACGGGUGUACCUGAUGCGGAAGGAAAGUGACCCCUCUGAACCCAGGUUCAGGAUGCCGGCCUGACGGCACUCGCGGGGACCCA